CAGCAGCCGCGGUAAAACGUGAGGGGCGAACGUUGUCCGGAAUCACUGGGCGUAAAGGGUACGCAGGCGGUGGAGAAAGUCGGGUGUGAAAGCCUCAGGCUUAACCUGAGGAGGACGCUCGAUACUUCUCCACUUGAGGAAGGGAGAGGGAGGUGGAAUUCCCGGUGUAGCGGUGAAAUGCGCAGAUAUCGGGAGGAACACCAGUGGCGAAGGCGGCCUCCUAUCCCUUUCCUGACGCUCAGGUACGAAAGCUAGGGGAGCGAACCGGAUUAGAUACCCGGGUAGUCCUAGCCGUAAACGAUGGGUGCUAGGUGUUGGGGAGUUAAACUCCUCAAUGCCGAAGCUAACGCAUUAAGCACCCCGCCUGGGGAGUACGACCGCAAGGUUGAAACUUAAAGGAAUUGGCGGG
rnacentral:rRNA from 1 species